UACGUAGGGACCAAGCGUUGUUCGGAUUUACUGGGCGUAAAGGGCGCGUAGGCGGCAAUUCAAGUCAUCUGUGAAAUCUCCGGGCUUAACUCGGAAUGGUCAGGUGAUACUGCUUUGCUAGAGUGCAGAAGGGGCAAUCGGAAUUCUUGGUGUAGCGGUGAAAUGCGUAGAUAUCAAGAGGAACACCUGAGGUGAAGACGGGUUGCUGGGCUGACACUGACGCUGAAGCGCGAAAGCUAGGGGAGCGAACGGG
rnacentral:rRNA from 1 species